rnacentral:rRNA from 1 species
GAGUUUGAUCGUGGCUCAGAUUGAACGCUGGCGGCAUGCCUUACACAUGCAAGUCGAACGGCAGCACGGGAGCUUGCUCCUGGUGGCGAGUGGCGAACGGGUGAGUAAUGCAUCGGAACGUAUCCUGGAGUGGGGGAUAACGUAGCGAAAGUUACGCUAAUACCGCAUAUUCUGUGAGCAGGAAAGCGGGGGACCUUCGGGCCUCGCGCUCUUGGAGCGGCCGAUGUCGGAUUAGCUAGUUGGUGAGGUAAAGGCUCACCAAGGCGACGAUCCGUAGCAGGUCUGAGAGGAUGAUCUGCCACACUGGAGCUGAGACACGGUCCAGACUCCUACGGGAGGCAGCAGUGGGGAAUUUUGGACAAUGGGGGGCAACCCUGAUCCAGCCAUGCCGCGUGAGUGAAGAAGGCCUCGGUU